rnacentral:rRNA from 1 species
CACGCUGUAAACGAUGUCUACUAGGUUGUGGCGGUUCUGACGCCGGCACAGCCGAAGCAAAAGUGUUAAGUAGACCGCCUGGGGAGUACGGUCGCAAGGCUAAAACUCAAAGGAAUUGACGGGGGCUCACACAAGCGGUGGAGCAUGUGGAUCAAUUCGAAGCAACGCGCAGAACCUUACCUGGGUUUGACAUGCUUGGAUGCCUUCCUGGAAACAGGGUAGGUUGCCCUUCGGGGUGAACUUGCACAGGUGCUGCAUGGCUGUCGUCAGCUCGUGUCGUGAGAUGUCGGGUUAAGUCCCAUAACGAGCGAAACCCUUGCCGUUAGUUGCCAGCGGGUCAUGCCGGGGACUCUAACGGGACUGCCGGUGUUAAACCG